GACUCGUUCUGGUUAUUGGAGAAUCAUCCCUUGAUAGUCUUGCCGCUCUAUAUGGGCGGCAUUCUUUUUGCCUGGA
rnacentral:sRNA from 2 species